UACGAAGGGGGCUAGCGUUGUUCGGAAUUACUGGGCGUAAAGCGCGCGCAGGCGGCUCUUCAAGUCAGGGGUGAAAGCCCAGAGCUCAACUCUGGAACUGCCUUUGAGACUGAAGAGCUUGAGUACGGGAGAGGUGAGUGGAAUUCCCAGUGUAGAGGUGAAAUUCGUAGAUAUUGGGAAGAACACCGGUGGCGAAGGCGGCUCACUGGCCCGUUACUGACGCUCAGGCGCGACAGCCGUGGGGAUCAAACAGG
rnacentral:rRNA from 1 species